GCGAUCAAUGAAACACUGGCGGUGAUCAUAUUGUUGGAUAUUUGUCACGAUUUUAUGAAGAUUUCUUGGCAAUAGAAGCUAUACAGAACAGUAAUUCUACCAUCUGCUAGCUCAGAAAACUCUAAGAGUCUUCUCAGAGUAUUUUCUCGUGCCGAAGGUGGCUAGAAAACUGACACUGCGAGCUCAAAGAUCGGGGGACCAAACAGCAAGGACGUCAGCAGAGGAACAUGUUCCAGUUUGUGGUUGGAUUUGCUUCUGGAGCGGUACUAGGGGUGUACAUAGCACAGAACUAUGAGGUUCCAGAUGUGUCUAAGGUGUUUGGGGAGGCAAAGAGCAAGAUUUCAACUCUGGA